UACGUAGGGGGCUAGCGUUAUCCGGAAUCAUUGGGCGUAAAGAGCGUGUAGGCGGCCCGGUAAGUCCGCUGUGAAAGUCGGGGGCUCAACCCUCGAAUGCCGGUGGAUACUGUCGGGCUAGAGUGCGGAAGAGGCGAGUGGAAUUCCUGGUGUAGCGGUGAAAUGCGCAGAUAUCAGGAGGAACACCGAUUGCGAAGGCAGCUCGCUGGGACGUAACUGACGCUGAGACGCGAAAGCGUGGGGAGCAAACAGG
rnacentral:rRNA from 1 species